rnacentral:rRNA from 1 species
UACGAGGGGGGCAAAUGUUGUUCGGAAUCACUGGGCGUAAAGGGAGCGUAGGCGGGUUUUUAAGUCAGGUGUUUAAUCCCGGGGCCCAACCCCGGACCGGCACUUGAAACUGGGAAUCUUGAAUAGGGGAGAGGUCAGUGGAAUUGGAGGUGUAGCGGUGGAAUGCGUAGAGAUCUCCAAGAACACCGGUGGCGAAGGCGGCUCACUGGCUCGUAACUGACGCUCAUGCACGACAGCGUGGGGAUCAAACAGG